UCCUGCCUAGCAGCCAAUCAGGGGCCACGCAUAGGUGCUGCAUAGGCGCAGGCUGUGAGCCGGGUUUCCGGCUUAGGAUCAGGGUCUGGUGAAGGGGCUAGAGGCGCCAUGUCGGGCCGGGAAGGUGGCAAAAAGAAGCCCCUGAAACAGCCCAAGAAGCAGGCCAAGGAGAUGGACGAGGAAGAUAAAGCUUUCAAGCAGAAACAAAAGGAGGAACAGAAGAAACUCGAGGAGCUAAAAGCCAAGGCCGCGGGGAAGGGCCCCCUGGCCACAGGUGGAAUUAAGAAAUCUGGCAAAAAGUAAGCUGUUCCUCACAUCGGAGGUGACGUGACCCUCCUCCUCCAUCCCUAUGUAACCAUCUGGAUUCCCUGCCAUAACAUCUUUGCCACCUAAUAGCUAGGAUGAAGUGUUAUCCUGGAGCCUGUUGUUGUACAUUGUAAUAAACUUUUGUAAAAAAAAAAAAAAAAACAAUGAAUAAAGUGAACAAUGCAAUGGCUCCUUGUCUUUAGUGUUCAGCAAUUCCUACCUCAGCUGUGAAUUUAAAGUGAACCUAGUCUAGAAUCCCACUAGAGCCUUGUUCCAUCUUCAUUGUAUUCUGAAUUCUGUACCACUUUGAAUUAAACUCAUUUAAAAGCCUA